AUGAACGCUGGCGGCGUGCCUAAUACAUGCAAGUCGAGCGUACGGACGAGAAGCUUGCUUCUCUGAUGUUAGCGGCGGACGGGUGAGUAACACGUGGAUAACCUACCUAUAAGACUGGGAUAACUUCGGGAAACCGGAGCUAAUACCGGAUGAUAUUUUGAACCGCAUGGUUCAAAAGUGAAAGACGGUCUUGCUGUCACUUAUAGAUGGAUCCGCGCUGCAUUAGCUAGUUGGUAAGGUAACGGCUUACCAAGGCAACGAUGCAUAGCCGACCUGAGAGGGUGAUCGGCCACACUGGAACUGAGACACGGUCCAGACUCCUACGGGAGGCAGCAGUAGGGAAUCUUCCGCAAUGGGCGAAAGCCUGACGGAGCAACGCCGCGUGAGUGAUGAAGGUCUUCGGAUCGUAAAACUCUGUUAUUAGGGAAGAACAUAUGUGUAAGUAACUGUGCACAUCUUGACGGUACCUAAUCAGAAAGCCACGGCUAACUACGUG
rnacentral:rRNA from 1 species